rnacentral:tRNA from 1 species
GGGCGCUUGGUCUAGGGGUAUGAUUUUCGUUUCGCAUGCUUCGCAGCAUUGUCUAUGAAAGGUCGUGGGUUCAAUUCCCACAGUGUCCA